rnacentral:rRNA from 1 species
GUCCACGCCGUAAACGAUGUAAACUAGCCGUUGGAAUCCUUGAGAUUUUAGUGGCGCAGCUAACGCAUUAAGUUGACCGCCUGGGGAGUACGGCCGCAAGGUUAAAACUCAAAUGAAUUGACGGGGGCCCGCACAAGCGGUGGAGCAUGUGGUUUAAUUCGAAGCAACGCGAAGAACCUUACCUGGCCUUGACAUGCUGAGAACUUUCCAGAGAUGGAUUGGUGCCUUCGGGAACUCAGACACAGGUGCUGCAUGGCUGUCGU